CUUGGAAGUAAAGACGGCGGACCCGGGGGAGUCCCCUGGCUGGAUCACGGCAAAGCUGAGCCUGACUCUUUAAAACCGUUAAAAACGAGUCUUCUGUGCUUCCUUUGCCACCCUCUGUGGCAGUGCGACCACGAUUACCUCAAGGCUCUGUUCGUGCUAAGCAUGAGGUUACUGUGAUUGUUCUGAAGGACCUGUGUGAUGACCAUAAGUGGUGAUGGUUGCUGUUGAUUGUCUCUCAGAGCCAUGUGUGUCCAAGACUUGGCCCCAGCUCCUGGCUCUCAGUAAAAGGUAUGGCGCCUCCGGGAGAUGGGCCCUGGUGGGGGAAAUGACGUCAUCAGAGUAUGGCCUUGAGGGGUGUUGGGACUUGGUUCCUUCCUGUUUCUUUGGCUUCUGGCUGCCCUGAAGUGAGCAUCUGCCGUGUGCUCCCCCAUGACGCAUUGUGCUGGUGUAUGCCAGAAGCUCAGGCCAGGUGACGGUGGACUAGAACCUCUGAAACUGUGAGCCAAAAUGAGUCAGUUUCUGCUCCAUGUAAGUUAUGAAUCUGAUAGUUUGUCACAGUGAUGGAAAGUUGUGAUGUUACACACAUACCAUACACACAAGGUGGAAGCAUUUUUGUGAGUUUGGACAAUUUUUCAUGCUCUUAGAUUUGGUGGUACGUGAGCAGAAAGUACCAGAAUAUCCUUUCAAUCAUUUGGGGAAAAAAUUGGUGGACUUUGAAUAAUAAUAUUUAAAGUAAAACACAAGUUGUUUCUCGAAAAGGUGUCUCAUUUCUGAGGAAUGCUCUGGACACUGCGAUACUGAUUCACUUUGUGUGUUAGAAAGAAUUCUAGUUGCAAGGGACAGAAAUGGACUCUGCUCAGUAAACAAGGAAAGGAAGGGGACCAAGUAGUUAACAGCAACAGAGAGUAAGUGGAGGAGCCCCAGGAUAGAGGAUGGCAAAGGCCAGACAGCGAGACAGAGCCCAGCGACUGCCACGAGCAGCCCUCUGGACACCUCAAGACUGCCACUUCUGUUGUCCAGGAAAGCCUGCUAACAUAGGACCCACAGCACAAGUGGGCCACCUGCCCACUCUGGGCUUCAGGUGGGGGCUGAGAGGGAGCACCUGGUUUCUCUCACUUCUGUCCCACAAGGGAGAGCUCUGUGUCCCUCAGGACUCACACGGAGACAUUUCUUCCAAACAAAGAAUGUUCCAAUCUGGUUGGCAACCCAUCUCAAAAAUUGGACUGUUUUCAAGCCUGUGCCUCAGACUACUCAACUCCUACAUAUGUCUGGAAUUCCUGUGUUGCCACAGUGCUUGACCCCUCUACCACGCAGACUUGGUCCUGUGACCACAAGUGCAGUGUAAUCCAAUGGUCGUCAGAUCCUUCAGCCAAUUCCAAGCAACCAGAGCAGGUUGCUCGGCAAGAUGGGGGGUGAUCUCCUUCCAAGUACUGCCACCUGUAGUCUCUGCUCAGCAGUGGUGGCCCUGAGCGCCUGCAGAGGAGCUGGUUCUCCACAUUCCAUGUAUGUUCCUUUCGUCUGCAGCCAAUAAUUCUGGUGCUGUUUUCCUCCUGAGACGGCUCCUCCAUGUCUCAUUACCGAAGAAUCUCAACCUCAGCGCACUUGCCUGUACCCAGCACUCCUGGCUUUUCCUUUCAUCUUACACUGUUCUGUCCGCUCUAGUGCCUCAUGUUCCAGGCACAAGGAGGCAGAGAAACAGGAGAGCCAGGUCAGCCUGCUUCUAUCAGGAGGGGAAAUUCCAGCACAGGCAUUAGCUUUGGUCUCUUAAUCCCAGCUGAAAAGGGAUCUGUGUUGACCUGACUCUGGGACCCACUGAAGACCAAAAGUAACUGGGAAACCAGCAGAGACUUGGAGGGGGCUACAUGAAAGCUAACAUGUGGGUUUGUGUGGCCCCAGAGUCCAGAUGUGUGGCCUUGUGGCAAAGAAUGCUGGAUGGGUACCUGGCUCUGCCCUUGGAGGGGGUCCUCGUGUGUUCCAGGCUCUGGACCUGGAUACUUUAUUGAAGGGACACCCUGUGUGCAUGUGUCAUUUGCCUCCCCUACUGGCAAAGCAUUGCUCCCAGUCACCGGGUGUCCUGUGUCCACGUCUGGCAGGUCCAGACUAGGAUUUAACUGCUGCAGCAGUUUGUGGGCUUGCAAACCUUUGUCUCUGCCAGGGGAACUUGGGGGGCCUCAGGUACAGAGUGAGGGCAGCUACUGUAAGUGUCCCUGUUAUCCAGCAGAAGUAGGAAGUUGGAGCUGGGGGCCUGGAAAAUAACCCUAGGAUGAGCUGUGACUGACACAUCCACGACUGCAAAGGGAGCUCACCCCUCUGCCUCAUUAACUAGCGAAUCUCCCCACCAGCGCUGCUCCGGGUCCCCAGAUUAGCAAUCCUGUCUCAGCGUGAUGGAGACGCAUCACAUACGUCCUAUAAGUCACCCAUCUCCAGUGCACAGAGCUGUGAUUUUUAGCAGAUUUGCCACGUUGUCUAACCGCCACCAUAAAUCAGCCUAGAUUUCCUUCCAUCCAAUAAGGGCGCUUUGUGCCCCUAUGAAAGACAUAAUUGGAGUGAAGAAUGCAUCUUUAAGUAGACUGAAGACCUGAGGCAGUGCCUGCAUCUUGUUCCUCUGCAUGAUGAGGGAUCACAAUUUACUUAUCCAUGAUUAACACUGAGAUAGCUUCACGUUUCCUGACUUGAUUAAUGGAGGUACCGUGAACAUCCCGGAGUAUAAGUACGUGUGCACAUUUCACAACACACGCUUAGGUUAUGCUUCUAAAGGAAGAAUGGAAACUAUUAGGAGAGAACAUGUAGGAAUUAUCAAAGUUACACAAGUCUCAAGGAAGAAUACGGCUAUGGAAGGGACUUUCCCACCUCUGUCAUGGGCAGACUCCUUGUUGGGGCAGUGGAUUUUAGUCACAACUGUCACCUCAUGUGACAGGAGGGCAUGACCUGUCUCUAUGGACCUGCAGUGGCCCCCAAGGCUCUGCUCACUCUGCUCAGUGCCUUUGCUGCCAGGAUCCCAACUGCUCGGGAACUGCUGCUAAACUUUCCUGAGACAUUGCAGCCAGAGGUUAAGUGCCCAUUCGAGUGCUGACCAGAAUGGGAGGGCGAUGGCCUCUGGAGUGAGUGUGUAUGUGCAUGAGUGUGUGUGUUCGCUGCUCUGUUUUCAAGAGACUGUCCAUGGGGACUCUGACAAGAGCUGCUUUCAGGGGGUCAGGGCUGACCUGGGGUGACAGGAGCACUCUGAUUUGGACUUGAGCCUCUGCCACCUUCCUGGGCUGGGCAUCCACCCUCAUCAGAGCCCAGUUCUCAGGGACCCUCACUGCUCAGAGCAUGGCCACUACCACACUCGGGCACAGUUCUGACAAGUCUAGUGGCCCAGUGAACCAAACCAUAGGCGACAGGACUACAUGCUCACCUGCUGGGUUUUGGACUCUCUUUGGUUCCUUCCCUGUAUCUUCUUGUUCCUAACUUUUGGAAGGGGAAUGUCUAUCAUGACACUGAAUGUUGGAAGUGUUUCACUUUCUUGUCAUUUCUGUAGGGGUUUGUAGCUAAGCUUUUGCCUUAAAUUCUCAGAGGAGACCUUGGACUUGGAUUUUUCAGCAAUGCUGAAACUAUUAAGACUUUGGGGACUCAGAGAUGGACUACAUGCCUUUUGACUAAAGGGAUCUCAAUGAAUUUUGAGAGACAGGGGUUGAAUGCUAUGGUUCAUGUCUUGAUGUACCCCCAAAGCCUCAUGGUAGUCAUAGGUGGGGCUUUUUACAGAGGUGACUAAAUCCAGUGUGCAGUGCUAGGAUUAAGGGUGUGAUCAUUAAAUCAGUCCCCUGAUUGGAUUGGAACUACCCUAAUCCCCUUAGCCUGGAAACAGUAUAAGGCACAGAAAGGGGCUUGUCUUGUCCCUUGAUUGGUUUUGUUGUCUUAUGCUGCAAUAAACUGUUGCCCCUCUAUCACACCACCCCGCCUUGGAGUCAGCUGAUUAUGAGCUGAAACCUCCACAAACUGUGAGCUAAAUAAACCUUUCCUCCUUUAA